CUGUUAAUAACAUACAUCCUUAUCCAUGACUCCACCUUUGGAAUAUCAGAAAAUGAUGACUGGAGAUGAAUGAGAUAUGAUGAGUAUCUCCAGCUUGUGGGAACAGAAACUCACUAAAGUGCCAUUCUGAU